CAGCAGCCGCGGUAAUACGAAGGGUGCAAGCGUUAAUCGGAAUUACUGGGCGUAAAGCGUGCGUAGGCGGUGAGUUAAGUCUGCUGUGAAAUCCCCGGGCUCAACCUGGGAAUGGCAGUGGAUACUGGCUCGCUAGAGUGUGUCAGAGGAUGGUGGAAUUCCCGGUGUGGCGGUGAAAUGCGUAGAGAUCGGGAGGAACAUCAGUGGCGAAGGCGGCCAUCUGGGACAACACUGACGCUGAGGCACGAAAGCGUGGGGAGCAAACAGGAUUAGAUACCCGUGUAGUCCCUGUCUCUUAUAC
rnacentral:rRNA from 1 species